AGUGUAAGAGCUAAAUUUUCGAUUAAUAUUUACCAACUGCUUAGUAAAUAUUCUUCAGUAUUUUCUUGAACUACAGAUUUAUCCUUUUCUUUGAAAUUAGAUUGCAAUGACGAUUCUAUAUGACUGAAAAUAGUUCUGAAUAGUAAAUUGUUCUUUAGAUUUGCAUUUAUGUAGUGGAGUGACCAGUAUCUAAAAUGAAAAAGAUUUCUAUUGAUAAUCAUGAAGUGUCCCUUUGGAAUUGAAUGAUAAGUUGAAUAGAGGAAUAUAAACAUCUUAGAAGCAGAGUUUUCAAUGAAGUGAUUGUAUUGCGUAGUGUUGGUAUAUUGAUUUUGAAAUAUAUUUCCGAAAUGCCAUUCAGCUGAUUUGUAAGGUAGUGGUGUGACCAAUAAUUUCAAAAUAUAUAUUGUAAAUAAAGAAUAAUUGGUCUUAGCUGUGAGUGUUGAAGUGAAGAAAGCGUUAUCUUGAUUAGAGUGAGAAGGUGGUACGAUUUGAUUAAGAAAGUAUUGUUAUUCUGUUUAAGUCUCCUUAAGAGCAGAGCUUUGGUAAUAAAAAAAUCAUAAAAUUUGAUUAUUCAGAAUAGUAGUAUUAUUAUCAGUGUUUGAAAAUUUUAAUUGAAUGAAAUUAUGAUGCGAAAUGAUAAUGAUAAAAUGUUUUUCUUUGAACUAGUAAUAUUGCCCCACCCACCCUAUUUUUAAAAAAUAUAUAGCAAUUACUUCAACAUUGGUAUUUGAGUGAACUGAAAUUGUUUUAAUGAAUCUGAGUAUUGAAGUGUCUUUUAUAUGUGCAGUCAAUUAGUGUAGUGACCAAAUUUUAAUCUUAGAAAGUUUGAAAAAAUAAGUCUCAUUUUUUGGUUGAGCAUAUUAAUAUAUGACGCGAUUGAGCAUUGGUUUGGUUAAUAGUUUUGACAUUUCCAAUAAUGAUUAAUAUUUUUGGAAAUAAAUUUUUGAAUUGCCCUUCAGCUGUAUUGUGAAGUAGUGAUGUGACCAAUAAUUGAAGGUAUUGAAUUUCAACGUAAGAAUAAAUGGUUUUAACUGCGAGGUUAAUCACUUGAAAGUUUUGUCUUGAGUAGCUAUAGAACAUGGUACGAUUUAAUGAAGAAAGUAUUAUUUUCUUGUUUAAGAGUAAUAGAUAGUAACAGUUUUGUAAUAGAAAGAAUUAAUUUGCCUACGUUUAAAGCAUUGUCGAGAAAUUUAAUGAGGAGCCCCUGAACAUAUUUUUGAAAGCAGUCGUUUGUCCUUUAAUAAAAAUUUAAUUUUGAAAAAAUUGGCAAAAUGGAACCUGAGCUUGAGAUUGCCGUUUAGGUUGUUUUGAGAAUAGUAUUUAGAGUUUCUAUAAUAUUUUUUGAUAUCAGAGUUAAUAUUAUAUGUAAUGAAAUAUGUAUUCCCUUUCCAUUGAGAUUAUUUUAUUGCAGAUCUUUCAUAUUACAAUUUUCGUUUAGUCAGUUGUUUGUUCAAAGUGUGAGAGCUAAAUUUUCGAUUAAUAUUUCCCAACUGCUUAGUAAAUAUUCAUCAGUAUUUUCUUGAACUACAGAUUUAUCCUUUUCUUUGAAAUUAGAUUCUAUAUGACUAAAAAUAGUUCUGAAUAGUAAAUUGUUCUUUAGAUUUGCAUUUAUGUAGUGGAGUGACCAGUAUCUAAAAUGAAAAAAGAUUUCUAUUGAUAAUCAUGAAGUGUCCCUUUUGAAUUGAAUGAUAGGUUGAAUAGACUAAUAUAAAGAUCGGAGAAGUAGUGUUUUCAAUGAAGUGAUGGUAUUGCGUAGUGUUGGUAUAUUGAUUUUGAAAUAUAUUUCCGAAAUGCCAUUCAGCUGAUAUGUAAGGUAGUGGUGUGACCAAUAAUUGGAAAAUAUAUAUUGGAAAUAAAGAAUAAUUGGUCUUAGCUGUGAGUGUUGAAGUGAAGAAAUUGGUAUCUUGAUUACAGUGAGAAGGUGGAACGAUUUGAUUAAGAAAGUAUUGUUGUUUUUCUUAAGGUUCCUAGAGUAUGAAAGUUUGAGAAUAAAAAUUAUAAAAUUUUAUUAGUUGGAAUUACAGUUAUUGUUGUCAUCAGAAAGUGAGUACUUUAGAUUCAAAAGUGUUAUUCUUCGAAUUUUUUCAAAAGUAAGAAACUUAAGUAAGUUUUUUGAGCACGUGAUAUUUCUCCUCCCCCGAUUUAAAAAUAGAUUUGAUACCAAAAUUGUUAAUAGAUGUUGAACGAUGGCUUGAUCGAAUAAGAUAAAUUGGCCUUAACGUGGCAUGUCACUCAAAUUACCAAAUGUACCCAUUGUAUUAAUAUUUAGUAAGUGCCCUUAAUUGUUGAAGUAGUUGAUCUUAAUAACUUUGUUUUUUAUUUUUUUAGUGUAUAAAAAAAAGAUCUGCUGUACAGUUAAAGUAAACAAUGUACUUUUAUUGCUCUUUCAUAGAUAUAUGUGUAAAUAACUUUAUUAUUAUUUUUUUUUCAGAAUUUCGAAAAACUUGAACCAAUAAGUAUUAGUGAUACUUUUGAGUAUUCAGUUGCAAACUAUAAAAUAGUUAUUAUAAGAAAUUAUUGGACCUUAUUUUCAAUUUAUCUUUUCAUCCUCGAAAAAUCGUCAAGCUUUUAUGUUCAUAGCGUGGCCCAUAAAUUUGUCAUUUUUCAAAUGAACCAUUGUUUUUUUAAUGAGUUAUUUAAGGUACAGAGAUGCAAUUUGUUUUCAUUAUAAUAAUUUUAGCAGAAUGAUAGUUUUCUAAAUUUAAAAAUAUUGAGUUUAAAAAAAUUAAUUAUUCACUUUUUUUUCGCGAAGUUGCCAAUAUUGUAUGAUAGAUGGAUUGGAAUGGUUUUAUUAAUUGAAAACAAUUAUUUUCCUGUUAUUAAUAGAAUGGUAAAAUUUUUCAUUUUAGAAACUUCUUUGGCUGAAUGAAACUUUAAAUUCUUGUAAUUAAGUUAAUAUGCUUUAGUGUUCACAGAAGAAUAGACAUUAUAAAUCUAUCAUAUUUCAUUUUUAAUGUCAAAUUAUAUACUUUUUAUUCUUGUGUUUUAUAUUAUAUCGCAGAAAUAAGUCGAAUUUCUUCGAAGGAAAGUAAAAAUUGAGUGUAACUUCUUUCAGUGGUCAAUUUUAAAUAUAAAUUUAUAAAUAUCAAAGCACGAAAAUUCCUUUAUUUGUUCGAAUGUUGACUUUAUUUUUAUAAGACAUUUCAUUUGUUGUAGGAAAUAAACUAUUUUAAAUAAAUUUUAUUUAUUGUCAUUGUUAUUUUUUUCCAAUGUAGAAAUUGAUUAUUUCAUAUUGAACUUAUGUGUAUUUUAUAUAAAUAUUUGACAUUCACAGAGUGUUUAAUUUUUUUAAAAAUAUUUUAUUUAGUUUUGAUGGUACAUUAAAAAAAAUAAUUUUUUUUUCUUCCAAGUAGAAAGUUUGUUCCGGAGGUUUUAGAUAUCUAUCAACAGAAUACGUGAAAUAAAGAUAAAAGAGAAGUUAAUAGAAUACUGAAUAUAGGAUACUUCUGGGCGUGUUGAGUUACUUAAAAUAUGAAGUCAGUUGCAUAGUUCCGACCGUAAAAAUGUCUUGAUGUUUCUGUAUGAGAAAGUUCCCACGUUUUCCCACUAUGCCGUGAGUCAAAAUGGUUUCCGUGAAUGGUCCCAUGAAUGAAAAUGGUUUUUCCUGUACGAGUAUCUUUUAAGACCAGUGUUAAUUUUCCUUGCCAUUCUACAAUCCCACCGUAAUUGAUUUAAUUGCUAAUGCGAGUUACCCGGUGAGAAUCCUCACUGAAUUGACCUUUAAUGUAAAGGCGUUUCUGUGUUAGGACCAUUGCCAGGCCUUGCAAUGAUGGGUUCGUAUAAACCUUUUUCAUUGCAAAAUUUGAUUUUAUUAUUUAACAAAAAUUUGAUAUUUUAAACGUAGAAAUAGAUGUUUUUCGAUUGUGACUUUAAUUUACGUAGAUCUGUUGCUUGUUUGUUUUUAAAAUUUAAAAACUAGUGAUCAGAAUUUUUUAAAAACUUACUCUUGCGUGUUAUAAAUUUAAAAAAAAAUGAAUUCAGUCUUUUUUGUAGUGUUAGUUUUAUUUACAAAUCAUAUGGGCUAAUCAUUACUAUAUGAACAUGUUGCAUUUUCAGAUUCUUUUCAGCAGCGGCAGGCUUUGAAGUAAAAAUUAAUUGGCAAACCAAAGUUGAUUAAUCAAAAUUCGUUCCCGUAUUUCUAUGGUAAAAAUUUUACUUAUUCUGUCUCAUAAAUAAUUUUAAAAUUUCAGAGCGUUUGUGAUUCAGUUGAGUUCUUACGGUCUAAAGAAACAACACUAUCAGCAAUUAAAUUUCUACUGUAACCGACAAUUUCAACGAGAAACUAUUCUUUUUUGUGGGUACUAGCGUGAUCACAGGAAAUAAAAACAUUUGUUUUACAAAUAUAUCUUAGAUGAAAAGUCUUUUAUUUGCAUAUGAAAGUAUAAUCUUUUGCCUGGUGAUGUGUAUGUGCCUUUCAGCUUAUUAUUGGCAGUGGUGUGACCAACAUUAUAUAGAGUCUGAAUUUCUUUGUACAUUUAUGCACAUGUUUGAAUUUGAAGUAAUGCGAUAAAUAUUUUGCCUCUAGCCAUUUUUAUAGGCAGUUGUGCCAAUCAAUGUAAUAAAACGUCUGAAAAAUGAAAUUAGAUUUUUAUGAUAAUUAUGAUUAUCUGCUAGUCAGUCAUAGUGAUAGUGGUGCGAUCAAUAGAGACGUGUAAAUUCCCUGUUUGAAAUAAAUAAUUUUUCUUUUAAUUCAUAGAAUUGCCCUUUAGCUAUAGCGUUGAGGUAGUGGAGUGACCAAUAAUUUGGGUCUUUAUUUCUUUGCAUUUGAAAAUAAAAUUUAAAAAAACCUUUAAAAAAUAAUUUGAUUACUAAGAUAACGAACCCGUUGCUAUUUUUGUCUGUUGUGGUGUGAUCUGUAUUGAAACGAACAUACAUAGUGGUAUGACUUGUGGAGAGAUGAUCAUUUGUUUUCAUGAGAAAUCUUAAUAGGGAUCAUUUUAAAUCUGUAGAAUUACCAGCCACCUGUAGUGCUGAAGUAGUGGCAACAAUAUAUAUGUCUUAAUGUUUUUUGUAAUGGUAAUAAAACAUAAAUUUAUGAAAUUUAAUUAUUAAUAAAAAUAAUCCCCGGCGUGAUGCUUAUCAGUGGGGGAAAAAACCCCAGAAAUUUUUGUUAUAUAUCGCAGAUAAUUUGAAUGAAUUAAUUAAUUUUGUUAUUUAGAGAAAUGUACUUCUCAAUAGCGGCAGUAGUGUGACCGAAAUUUAAUGAUUUUUUUAUUUCUCUGUAUUGGAAACAAAAGCAUAUUUGUUUAAAAUUGGAGUUAUCAGGUGUUUUUUUUUUUGUUUUUUUUGUUUUUUUUUGCAUAAUUACAAUUCAAUAUACUGUUUCAGGUAGUGAUGGUGACCAAUGUGUGUUCUUAUUUUUUAAGCAUUUGAAAAUAAACCUCUUGAAAGAAGCAUGUAGUAUUAGAUGAAUUACUGAUAGUUGUGUGACCUAUUUGGAGACGAAUUUUUGUUAUAUUUUGAAAUAUUAAAUAAAAAUAAAUGUAAUUCAGAAUCUUUUAAAUUUAUAGACCGACCCAUUAGCUGUUGUGUUUAGGUACUGGUGUGGCCCAACAUCAUAUAAAGCCUUAAUUUCCUAGUUAUGGGAAAUAAAGUACUGUUUAUCUAACGUAGAGUAACAUAAAAUAAAUAUUUUAUCCUACGUCUUUUUUCUAGCUGGUAGAAUUUAACUUUGAUAAAAAAAAAAGUAUUAUCCUAUUGUUAAACAUCUCAAGUUGAAUGAAUGCAUUAAUGUAAUUUUGGUAUCGAAAAAAUAUCCUUCAGCUGUUCUGUAGAGGUAGUGGUGUGACCAAAAUUAGAUGAGUGUUUCUUUAUAUUAGAAAAUAAAGCACUAAAAGGUAUAUGGUUAACUUCCAGCCAUUCUGGUAGAAUUUUUUUUUUUUUUUUUUUGUAAAUUUUUUGGUUUGUGGGUGGUGGAGUGUGUUUUAUUUUUGUGUUUUUGUGUGAUUUUUUUGUGUAAUGUUACAAGUGUGAAUUCCUUUGUAUUAAAAAAUAAGACUUAUUAAUUUGAAAUGGAAGUAAUGCUAUAAAAAAUGAAGUAAUGCAAAGCAAUAAAAUUUUUUCCUCUAACUAUUCUUUUAGGAAUAACAUUAUUUAGUGUAAUAAAAUGAUGAUUUGUUUUGUUAUACAUCCUAUAUAGAAAUAAAUGAAAUAACAUGUUUAUAUAAUCUGUAAAAAUAUCCUUUAGAUUUUCUGUCAAGGUAGUGGUGUGACCAAAAUUAGAUGAGUGUUUCUUUAUAUUGGAAAAUAAAGCACUAAAAGGUAUAUGGUUAACUUCCAGCCAUUCUGGUAGAAUUUUUUUUUUUGUAAAUUUUUUGGUUUGUGGGUGGUGGAGUGUGUUUUAUUUUUGUGUUUUUGUGUGAUUUUUUUGUGUAAUGUUACAAGUGUGAAUUCCUUUGUAUUAAAAAAUAAGACUUAUUAAUUUGAAAUGGAAGUAAUGCUAUAAAAAAUGAAGUAAUGCAAAGCAAUAAAAUUUUUUCCUCUAACUAUUCUUUUAGGAAUAACAUUAUUUAGUGUAAUAAAAUGAUGAUUUGUUUUGUUAUACAUCCUAUAUAGAAAUAAAUGAAAUAACAUGUUUAUAUAAUCUGCAAAAAUAUCCUUUAGAUUUUCUGUCAAGGUAGUGGUGUGACCAAAAUUAGAUGAGUGUUUCUUUAUAUUGGAAAAUAAAGCACUAAAAGGUAUAUGGUUAACUUCCUGCCUUUCUGGUAGAAUUUUUUUUGUUAAUUUUUUGGUUUGUGGGUGGUGGUGUGUGUUUUAUUUUUGUGUUUUUGUAUGAUUUUUUUUGUGUAAUAUUACAAGUGUGAAUUCCUUUGUAUUAAAAAAUAAGACUGAUUUAUUUGAAAUUGAAGUGAUGCUAUAAAAAAUUGAAGUAAUGCGAUACAAUUUUUUUCUCUAACCAUUCUUUUAGAAAUAACAUUAUUUAGUGUAAAAAAAAUGAUGAUUUGUUUUGUUAUAUAUCCUAUAUAGAAAUAAAUGAAAUAGCAUGUUUAUGUAAUCUAUAAAAAUAUCCUUUAGAUUUUCUGUCGAGGUAGUGGUGUGACCAAAAUUAUAUGUUUCUAUAUUUCUUUGUAUUGGGAAAAGAAAUUUUUUAGAAUUGAAUUAAUAAUAUAAAUAAACCAUUAGCCAUUCUUGUAAAUAAUAGUGACCAGUAAAGAGAUGAAUAUUUGUUUUAUUGAAAAAGCGCUAAUAGAAGUCAAACUACUAGAUAUUUUCAUAUAAUUGCCCUUCAGUCACAGUGUACAGGUUAUGUUGUGUGAAUGUUGUAUGUGUUUUAUUUUUCAGCAUUUGGAAAUUAAAGAAAACUUUGAUAAUUAUGGUACUGCUUGUUAUUCUUACUGAUUUUAUAGCCUUUAUCGAGACAAACAUUCAUUUUGUUUUGAAAUCCUAAACAAAAAUAUAUGUAAUUGAGAGUCUUAAAUUUAUAGUACUACGUAUUAAUUGUAGUAUUGAGGUAGUGGUAGUGGUUUUACAUCAGGAAUAGAAUACUUUUGUUCUUAUAUAAAUUCCAUAUCGUGGAAUACAUGAAUAAGUGCGUUUUUGUUAUCUGAAGAAAUGUUCCAUUUGUAGAGGUAGUGGUUCCAAUAUUAGAUAAGUAUUCUUCUAUAUUGAAAAUUAAAGAUCAUUUCUUUUUUAAAUAAUAAGGUAAAUUUAAGGAAAUGUGAAAUAAUAAGGUAAAUGAUUAUCGGUUUUUUUUGUAGAUUUUUCAUGUGAUGAAUAUAGAGACCAGCAAGAUAAUUCCAAAAGUAAAUAAAUAAAUUAUUUUAGUAUUUGAAAAAGUGCCUCUAUUUCAUAUUGUGGAGAGAUUGACUAAGGUAUAUGAGUCUAUUUCAUUGCGUUUGAAAGUCAUGCAUUUCUCAAAAAUAGAAAUUAAGGUAACAUUAAAUAAUUAACUCUUAGCCAUUCUUCCUGAAAAAUUGUGUCUGGUAUAGAAAUGUUUGUAUUUUAUUGAAAAAUCCCACUGUGUGGUGAAUGACUUUUUAUCUGUAGCAUUGCCUUUUCAUCUGUAGUACUGUUGAGAUAUUGGUGACUUGACAAACAUCGUAAUUUUUUAAAAUUUUUUUAUUAUUCUUUGAAGAGUAAAGCACUUUUUUUUUUAUAUGGAAGUAUAAGAUAAAGAGUUUACCGGUAAGAUUUCCUGAUCAUUAGUAGUCAUUUGAAGAAUGUAAAAUAUUUAAGAGUAAUUUUAUUGAUUUCUGAAAUAGAAAGAUUUUUGUAUACACACUUUCCUCCUGACUGGAUGGUAAUGCAGUUGAUAAUUUUUAUGUUUUCCUUCUUAGAAUCUGAGUAGAAAUCAUUGCUUAAUAUAUUAAUAUCUUUUUAAUGCAAGUUUUGUCUAAAUACUUUUUUAAUAUUUGAUUAAAGUAAUCUUUCUUUCUUUCUUUUUCCUUCUAAUUUUUGGUAAUGAAGUAACGUUAGUUGGUUUGUGAGAUAAUAUGCCCAGUAUUCUCAAAGUAAUUUUAUCAUUAAGAAUUGAUUGAUUGAAAUUCAAAUGACUUGGUAAAAUAAGAUGAUUAACUUUCCUACUUGGUAAUUAAGUCGUCCCAAAAAAUGUUGUGCAAUAGAUUUUUAAAGAAAAUUUUUAAUGAGUGGUAGUGAUAUGAAAGUUGCAUAACAAUGUAUUCCAUUCCCUUAAACUUGAAAUUGUUAAUUAAAGCACUUUAUUGUAAAAAUAAAAAAAAAAGUAAUAAAAAAUCUGCCACAGAUUUUGAUUGAGGUGAAUUAAGGAUUUUAUGUGAAUGAAAUAAUUAUAUUUAAAAUGCCUUUGACAGAGCUUUCAGUUAGAAAUUUAUACCAAAUGAUGUUAUUUUUCUUCCAUCUUUCAAAGUUUUCUUUUAUCAUGAUGUAGAUGUUCUGAAACCAUUAUGCAUUAGUUUGGUUAAAUAUUGCUUCUCGUUUUGCAAAUAAAUUUAUUUAUAGGUCUAGGAGACUUAGAAGUAGUUAUUUGUUGGUAAGUUAUAUUUGUAUUGUAUUGAAAUUUCAUAAAAUAUUUUUUGUUGUGUGAAUUUUCAUUAAAAAAAAUUCUUUUUCCACCUUAAUAAUGAAUAUUAGUCCUGCACUGAUCGCACAAUUAAUGCUUAUUGAUUUUUCUCUAAUGAAUACUGACCAUAAUGUUGCAUAGCAUUUUAUAAAAUAUAGUAAUUGAAAAUUUAAUAUAAUUCAUUCAUAUUAAAAUAGCGAGGCUAGAAAUUAUAGCCGAGAGUUUAAUUAUAUUAAAAUAACUUACAGAAGUAAAGUGUAUACUAGAUAUUCGUUUUCUUUUCAUUUUAAUGUAAAAUCUUAUUUACUUCUGCCGGUUAACAACAACUUGCUGUAGGCUGCUGUCUUGAAAAACCUGAAUGUUAUAACGACAAAGUAAUCUCAGUAUUAAUUGCUAAAAUGUGUAAGUAUAAAUUUGAUCAGUUUCUGAAUUCCUUUCAAAUUUUAUAUUAUCAUUUAUUUGUGAUUUAAAGCCAUUUUGACAUCACGGUUUUACUCUAAAAAUGUUUGCAGUUAUUAAGGGCUUUUUAAAUACAAAUAGUAAAAAAAAAAAAUUCGAUAAUUUAAAAUAUAGUCCAGAAUUAUGUCCAUGUAAUUUGUCGAAUUUUCUGUAAAAGCCUUUUUUGUUUUGUUUUCCGAAUUUUCUCAUAAUGUAUUCGCAUUAAACUCCAGAAUGAAUCGUAAGUUAUCUUAAGAAAUUUUGCUUUAAUUUUUCCUCAAUUGUUAUUGAAAUAUUCUCUAAUUCGUUACUCCUUUUAUGGAUGUCCACCCCUUUCCCAUUUGCCGCAAUUGACUUAAGACUUAAAUUAUUAUAAUUCAUAAUUAUUUAGUUAAAUUUGUGUAAAAUUGUUAAUGGAAUAAUAAAAAAGAUCCCCUUUCCUUAAAGUUUUAAUUCCGCUAAAAUCUGUAAUUAGAAAACUGUUUUUUGGCCCUUGAGAAAUUUAUACAUUAAAACAAACUUAAUAUAUUUAAGAUUAACUGCUUUAUGCUAAAAGUAGACUGUAUUUGGAGAUUGAAAUUUAAAUAAUUAAUUAAACCUCGUUUGUGGCAAUUUGAAAAUUAAAAAAAAAAAAAAAUUCUUUCAUGAUAGAGUAUAUUUCAAAAUUGCGGCUCAGGAUUUCCUAACAUGUUAAACUUUUGUGGGAGGAUAGGGUGGCUAUUUGGGGAGGAGGAGGCCACCAACUUAAAAAUAAAUAUUUUUUCAUAAAAUUUAUUUGUUUUUGUUUUUUUUAUUUUAUGGAGCACAAUUUAUUGCUCUUUCAACAUUAAAUGUCUUGCAAUUUCCUACAAAAUAAGGGAAUAAAUAAAUAAAAAAACGUAAUGAGUAAUUACUGAAGCAAUGUAUCCAAAAUAAAGCAACAAUCCUUGUAUCAGCGGGUAACGACUGAACUAAUUUAUCCAAAUAAAAUGACUAUCAGAUAUUGAUGUAUCCUUAAUAAUAACAUUCUGACAGUAUAAAAUAUAAUCUAGUAAUUUCAGAGCUCAUCAAAGAAUGAUUAAAAAUUGUAUGCAAUUCUCAGUUUAUGAACAGUUUUAUGGGAGGACAGGGUGGCUAUUUGGGGAGGCGGAGGCCACCUAGUUAACAUUAAAAUAAUAUUUUCUUCAACCGUUUAUUUGAUUUAUUCAAAUCAAAACCAAGCAAUCAUUAAGCAAUUAACGUUAUCAUCAAUACUCUUUCCAGUGAGUCGAAUUCUAAUGGUGAAGGAUUCAUUGAAUUAUUGUUAAAUGUCAAUUAAAAGAGACAGUUUUGUUCUAAAACUAAUAAAAAUGUAAAUUAUUAACUUUCUUGUAAAAUAAGAAAUAAAAAAAUGUAUACGAAAUUUUUAAAGAUUUGCUAUCGACAAUUCAUGCUCCAAAUCGAUAAUUAAUAUCGAUUUGAAGCAUUAUGGGAGGACAGGGUGGCUAUUUGGGGAGGUGGAGGCCACCUAGUUAACAUUAAAAUAAUAUUUUCUUCAACCGUUUAUUUGAUUUAAUCAUUUAACAGGUUUCUUUAUUUGAUUCGUUCUUUAGAUCAUUGUUAUUUUCGGUUUAUUAAAGUCAUAUUCAAAUCAAAAUAGCCAUUAAGUAAUUAACGUUAUCAUCAAUGCUCUUUCCAGUGAGUCGAAUUCUAAUGGUGAAGGAUUCAUUGAAUUAUUGUUAAAUUUCAAUUAAAAGAGACAGUAUUGUUCUAAAAUUUAAAAAAAAUAUAUUAUUAAAAUUCUUGUAAAAUAAAAAAAUUGUGUACGAAAUUUUUAAAAAUUUGCUAUCGACAAUUCAUGCUCCUAAUCCAUAAUUAAUAUCGAUUUGAAGCAUUAUGGGAGGAUAGGGUGGCUAUUUGGGGAGGAGGAGGCCACCGACUUAAAUAUAAUUAAAAUAUAUUUAAAAUCUUAAGAGACUUUAUUGCCGAAAACGAAUUUUAAGCAGGAAAUUUUAAAUAUUUUCGUAGAAUAAAAUUAAAAAAAAGUAUAGAAAAUUUAAUAAAUUCUUUUUGAUUAGUUAUCAAAUAGUAUUUCCUUAGUUGGCUCUGAAGUAAAUACUUGUACAUUUUUUUGUAGAUAAUUUAUCAAGAAAAAUUUGAAAAAAAAAAAAAAAAAAAAAAAAAAUUGAACUUAAAUUAAGAAUGCUGUUGAUUUAUCAGUUUAUCGUACGACACAAAGCGUUUAGAAGUGUCAAAGAUAAUCCAUUAAAUUGUUUAAAUAAAAUUUACAUUUGGUUUAUCUUUUCCUUUAAUUCUGUAUUUAAAAAAUGCUAAUAUAUUUAUUACAUAUCCCAUAACAUUAAGCUGUGUAUAUAGGUGUAAAAUAUAUAGUACGAAAUUUCAUAUUUUUACUCUGUAAUAUCAAUCAUCAUCAUCAUCGAGACAAAUUACUGUUUCCUGAAGGAUGUUUUUACUCUUAUUUCUCACAGGGCAAUUUAAAGAUCAAAUUAAGCUACGUGUUUUUGAAAGUGUUGUGCUUCAUGUCUGAUUGCAGCGAAAUUAAAAGAUAUCCCCCCCCCCCGGCCAUUUUUGUUAUUAAAUUUGAUGGUAAGUGAAAGCUGUUUAAAGAUGUUGAAAUUUCAAUUAUCGAUGGAGUAUUUAAUAAAUCAAAACUUGCGUUGCUUUUGUAUUUCUCUGUCAAACGUUUAAAUUCUACGUUAAAUUCUGUUUAAAUUCUUUUUCGAAAUGUGAAAUAAUUUGUCAUGUUUUUAAGAAAUAUAAAUUUGUCUCGGUGUGAGUCCCGUGAUUCAAUGUCGAUAUAUUUAAUGCUUGAUCGUUUUCGAUAUUUCGUCGUUGGUUUUAAUUUUAUUAAAAAGCAACUUAAUUUUUUCUCUCUCUCUCAUAUUGAAUGCGUUUUUUUUUUUCUGUUGUUGUUUUUGUAAAGAGCUAUUUUUCAGAGAAUCACUUAUGACCAAACUGAAUAAUACGAUUUUGAAUAUACUACAAUUCGUAUCUUGUUGCUGUGAAAUCGAAAGAAGUUUAUGCGAUUCUAACCUUUAUAUUUAGGGUAAGUGAACGCUAUUGAAAAUGUGAUAAUAUUUCAUGUAUUGAUUAUUGUUUUAUAAAUCUAUUAUUAUUUUUAAAGAGCUUUUUCAUACAUAUACUUCAGUGAGUGAUGUUUAGCUGUUUUUGAUCUUCGUUUAGAAAGUAAAGAAUAGACGCUUUUCGUAUUUGAAAGUCAAAUUAUUAAAGUAUGUAUGUCAAAUUAAAAAAGUAUUAUAAAGAAAGUAAAGUAUUAUAAAGAAAGUCAAAUUAUUAAAGUAUUAUAAAGAAAGUAAAGUAUUAUAAAGAAAGUCAAAUUAUUAAAGUAUUAUAAAGAAAGUAUGUAUUUAUUUAAAAAAAUAAGAAAUUAUCUUGGUUCUUUUUAUAUAUAAAAGGUCGAUGGAUUCAAAUUUUUCUUAGAUAUGUUUAAAUAACUAAUGCUUAAUUGUUUUGGUUUUAGUGGUUAAAUGGUUGGUUUAGAGGUCCAUAUAUCUAUUAAAAAUCGCUUUUCUCAAUUCUUAUAGAAUAUAUAUUUCCCCCUCUUGUUUUUCUUUGUAAAAACUAUUUUUCAGACGAUUAUUUUCUAUCAAUCAGUGCGAUUGUGAUUUCGAAUGUGUUGCACUUCAUAUUUUUUGGGUGCGAAAUGGAAAAUCUAUUAGUUCGAUUCUGACUAUUGAAUUAUGUGGUAAGUGAACGCUAUUGAGAAAAGGUAUUGAAAUUUCAUGUGUUUAUUGAUCAUCAUUAAAAAAGUAAAUUGCCUUUUUGCUUAUCAUAUUUGUAUGUCAAAUAAAUAAAAUUUUUUCAUCUAUUUGCUUCAUUGAUACAAUGUCAACAAUGUUUUCUGUUUUGUGUAGAAUGUAUUUUUUUUUCUUUCUGUUUUGUUAAAAUUGUUUUUCAGAGAGUGAUAUAAGAACAAAUUGAGUAAUGUGGUAUUCAAAGUACUGCACAUGGCGCUGUGUUGUAUCAAAAUUAAAAGAAUUUUUUUCUCCUGCAAACCCAACUCUAAAAUUUAACAGUAAGUGUACGUUAUUUGGCAAGGGAGUGAAAUUUUAUGCACGAGUUAAUCCGUAUUAUAAGAAGUGGAAAGUUGUCUUGUUGCAUUACAUGUUUGAAAGUCUAAUAGUUCAAAGUAAUGUUUAUUUAAUAGACAGAAAUUUGUCUUGCUACUUUUCAUGUUUGGAAGUAAAAUACUUAAAAGUGGUGCUUAUUUUAAGAAGUAAAAAUUGUCUUGGUACUUGUCAUAUUUCAAUUAUUUAAAUUUUUCAUCCAUAUGUUUUAAUGGAUAAUGCUAAAUUGUGUUUUAUAUUCCGUCGAUAGUUUUUAUGAUCGAUAUUUUUAUUAAGAAGUAACAUUUUUUGAUUCGUAUAGAACGUAUCCCCCCCUCUUCUUUUCCCCCCCAAAAAAUUUACUUAUGACCAGAUUGAGUUAUAUCAUUUUGAAUGUUCUGUACGUAAUAUUCUAUAACUGAGAAACUAAAAGAAAUUUGUUCAUGUUAUUCCAAACAUAGAAUGUCAUAGUAAGUAAAAUGGUAUUUAUUUGAAAAUGCAUUAAAACUUCAGAAAUUGAGUAAGCGUCAUUUAAAAAGUAAAUAAUUGUAUUGGUGUAUUGUGAGAGUUUUAAAUUUUACAUCUAAAUAUUUAAAUAAUUUUUUUAUCGAUUAUUUACUGUAUAAUAAAGGAAGAUUAUAUAGUAUUUUAAAAUUCAUUGAAAGCAAAUGUCUUAAAUUCGUUUUUUUUUUUUUUAAUUAUAAAGGGAUGUUUUAAAAUUUCAUGUUUAAAAGUAAUUGAGAAGAUUUAUAAGCUAGUGUUUAUGUUUAUAACAAUUGCUUACACUGAAGUUUCGUAGAUCAUCUUAGAAAAUCUUAGAAAUGCAUUGGUUGUGGAAAUUUCCCCUCAAGUUUUAAAAUCGAUUAAAACAAUUACAUAUUGUAAUAAAAAUUUAAAAAUUUUUCUCAACUUCAUUUAAAAAAAAAUCAGUUAUGAAUUAAAUAUAAUUUAAAUGAUAAUUUCAGAAAAGGGGCGGAUUUGUUUUAGUUCGUUUUUAAGUAAAUAUAUUUCCGAAUUUUCGGGUUUCUUUAAUACUGAAUUUUCUUUUCAGAAAUCAUGCUUUAAGCAAAAAUUUUUUCUACCUUUUCUUAUAUAAAUUUGUUUGUUUGUAAAAGGUUUCCACUCCUUUUCCAACUAUGCUGCUGAAUAUGCUGUUGGUUUAUCCCGUUCGAGCUCCUUAUAAAUUUGCUGGUGGUUUAUCCCGUUCGAGUUCAUUAUAAAUAUGCUGGUGGUUCAUCCCGUUUGAGUUUCUUGUAUGAUCAGGGAUAAUAAUUGGUCCACUCUUUGAGAUCCGCUGUAAUCAAAUUGAUAGGAAUGCGAGUUGACCCGG